GACGAACCGUGCGAACGUUGUUCGGAAUCACUGGGCUUAAAGGGCGCGUAGGCGGGCCCGCAAGUCAGGGGUGAAAUCCCACGGCUCAACCGUGGAAGUGCCUUUGAUACUGCGGGUCUCGAGGGAGGUAGGGGCGUGCGGAACUUCCGGUGGAGCGGUGAAUGCGUAGAUAUCGGAAGGAACACCGGUGGCGAAAGCGGCGCGCUGGACCUCUUCUGACGCUGAGACGCGAAAGCGUGGGGAGCAAACAGG
rnacentral:rRNA from 1 species